rnacentral:rRNA from 1 species
GACGAACCGUGCGAACGUUGUUCGGAUUCACUGGGCUUAAAGGGCGCGUAGGCGGAUGGUCAAGUCGGGGGUGAAAGCCCUGGGCUCAACCCAGGAAGUGCACUCGAAACUGCCUCGCUGGAGUGCCGGAGAGGAAAGCGGAAUUCUCGGUGUAGAGGUGAAAUUCGUAGAUAUCGAGAGGAACACCGGUGGCGAAGGCGGCUUUCUGGACGGUUACUGACGCUGAGACGCGAAAGCGUGGGGAGCAAACAGG